GGGGAUGACAGGCUUCGACAGCGUGAUUCAUAGGCGCUCUUCGUCUCAGUCCGGGAUCGCAGCAUCUUCCGUCACCCGCUGCUGCACUCUAUAGAUGCCAAAUCAUCUAUUCUUGCGACUGCGCGCAACAUCGUCGGACAGCUUCGGCUGAACGACCUGCAGCUCGUAGCCGCUUAAGUUCCCCUUUAUCCGGGAACGCGUCUCUCCUUCCAUCCUCGCUAAAGGGAUGAGGCGUCAUCAGCGAGGUUGGUCCGCCGCGUGACGCGACGGCGGAUCCGACACUUCGCGUCAACACUCUCCCGACUUUCCUUGUCCCUUCCUUAUGUCAGGAGAGAAUCGGAAAGGACAUGACUCUACGGACAGGACGUCUACACGUUGGACCCGGGUUCAAUUCCCGGCAUCUCCACCA
rnacentral:tmRNA from 3 species